rnacentral:rRNA from 1 species
AUUGAACGCUGGCGGCAGGCUUAACACAUGCAAGUCGAGCGGGGGAAGGUAGCUUGCUACUGGACCUAGCGGCGGACGGGUGAGUAAUGCUUAGGAAUCUGCCUAUUAGUGGGGGACAACAUCUCGAAGGGGAUGCUAAUACCGCAUACGUCCUACGGGAGAAAGCAGGGGAUCUUCGGACCUUGCGCUAAUAGAUGAGCCUAAGUCGGAUUAGCUAGUUGGUGGGGUAAAGGCCUACCAAGGCGACGAUCUGUAGCGGGUCUGAGAGGAUGAUCCGCCACACUGGGACUGAGACACGGCCCAGACUCCUACGGGGGGCAGCAGUGGGGAAUAUUGGACAAUGGGGGGAACCCUGAUCCAGCCAUGCCGCGUGUGUGAAGAAGGCCUUAUGGUUGUAAAGCACUUUAAGCGAGGAGGAGGCUACUUUAGUUAAUACCUAGAGAUAGUGGACGUUACUCGCAGAAUAAGCACCGGCUAACUCUGUGCCAGCCGCCGCCGUAA